AACAGGGUAUUGCCUUAGUAACGGCGAGUGAAGCGGCAAAAGCUCAAAUUUGAAAUCUAGUACCUUCGGUGCUCGAGUUGUAAUUUGAAGAUGGUAACUUUGGAGUUGGCCCUUGUCUAUGUUCCUUGGAACAGGACGUCACAGAGGGUGAGAAUCCCGUCUGACGAGGUGAUCCAACUCUAUGUAAAGUGCUAUCGAAGAGUCGAGUUGUUUGGGAAUGCAGCUCUAAGUGGGUGGUAAAUUCCAUCUAAAGCUAAAUAUUGGCGAGAGACCGAUAGCGAACAAGUACAGUGAUGGAAAGAUGAAAAGAACUUUGAAAAGAGAGUGAAAAAGUACGUGAAAUUGUUGAAAGGGAAGGGUAUUAGAUCAGACUUGGCGUUUUAUGAUUAUCUUCUCUUCUUGAGUUGUGCACUCGUAUUGCGCUGGGCCAGCAUCGAUUCGGAUGGCAGGAUAAUGGCAAUUGAAUGUGGCAUCCACUUCGGUGUAUGUGUUAUAGCUUUUGUUGAUGCUGCCUAUCUGGAUCGAGGACUGCGUCUUUUGACUAGGAUGUUGGCGUAAUGAUCUAAUAU
rnacentral:rRNA from 1 species